rnacentral:rRNA from 1 species
UACGUAGGGGGCAAGCGUUGUCCGGAUUUAUUGGGCGUAAAGAGCGUGUAGGCGGCUGGGUAGGUCCGUUGUGAAAACUCGAGGCUCAACCUCGAGACGCCGAUGGAAACCCUCCAGCUAGAGUCCGGAAGAGGAGAGUGGAAUUCCUGGUGUAGCGGUGAAAUGCGCAGAUAUCAGGAAGAACACCCGUGGCUAAGGCGGCUCUCUAGUACGGUACUGACGCCGAGACGCGAAAGCGUGGGGAGCGAACAGG